UCCCUGGUCCAGGGGCUAAGACUCUGCGCUCCUAAUGCAGUAAGCCCAGGUUCGAUCCCUGGUCAGGGAA
rnacentral:tRNA from 1 species